rnacentral:rRNA from 1 species
GUAACACACAAUUAAACAACCAAUUGUUCGCCAAACAACUACGAGCUAUACUUAAAACUUAAAAGACUUGACGGUACUUCAUCACGGCCUAGAGGAGCCUGUCUAAUAACCGACAAUCCACGAUUAACCCAACCCCUUCUUGCCCAACAGUCUAUAUACCGCCGUCGCCAGCUUACCUUGUAAAAGAAAUAAAGUGAGCUAAAUAAUACAACACUAAAACGACAGGUCGAGGUGUAACUUAUGGAGGGGUCAAGAUGGGCUACAUUCUCUCCGAGAAUACGAAUAACACUAUGAAAUUAGUGCUUGAAGGCGGAUUUAGCAGUAAGCUAAGAAUAAAAUACUUAACUGAACAUAACGCAAUGAAGUGCGUACACACCGCCCGUCAUCCCUGCCAUCAU